rfam:Schistosoma margrebowiei strain Zambia genome assembly, scaffold: SMRZ_scaffold0000163
AUCUAGCUAACGAGUCUCAAAUAAGACGAAACACGUGUCAUAGAU